rnacentral:rRNA from 1 species
UAGGGAAUCUUCCACAAUGGGCGCAAGCCUGAUGGAGCAACACCGCGUGAGUGAAGAAGGGUUUCGGCUCGUAAAGCUCUGUUGUUAAAGAAGAACACGUAUGAGAGUAACUGUUCAUACGUUGACGGUAUUUAACCAGAAAGCCACGGCUAACUACGUGCCA